CGUAAGAAUCUACCUAUAGGUUCGGGACAACAGUUAGAAAUGACUGCUAAUACCGGAUGUGCUUCGGGUGAAAGUUUAAUGCCUGUAGAUGAGCUUGCGUUCGAUUAGCUAGAUGGUGGGGUAACGGCCUACCAUGGCGACGAUCGAUAACUGGUCUGAGAGGAUGACCAGUCACACUGGGACUGAGACACGGCCCAGACUCCUACGGGAGGCAGCAGUGGGAAUUUUCCGCAAUGGGCGAAAGCCUGACGGAGCAAUACCGCGUGAGGGACGAAGGUCUGUGGAUUGUAAACCUCUUUUGUUGGGGAAGGUAAUGACGGUACCCAACGAAUAAGCAUCG
rnacentral:rRNA from 1 species